rnacentral:rRNA from 1 species
CCUACGGGUGGCAGCAGUGGGGAAUAUUGGGCAAUGGGCGCAAGCCUGACCCAGCAACGCCGCGUGAAGGAAGAAGGCUUUCGGGUUGUAAACUUCUUUUCUCAGGGACGAAGAAAGUGACGGUACCUGAGGAAUAAGCCACGGCUAACUACGUGCCAGCAGCCGCGGUAAUACGUAGGUGGCAAGCGUUAUCCGGAUAUACUGGGUGUAAAGGGCGUGUAGGCGGGAAAGCAAGUCAGAUGUGAAAUGCCCCCGCUCAACGGGGUGAAGUGCCAUUGAUACUGCCUUGCUGGAAUGCGGAUGCGGUGGGAGGAAUGUGUGGUGUAGCGGUGAAAUGCAUAGAUAUCACACAGAACACCGAUUGCGAAGGCAUCUCACGAAUCCGCGAUUGACGCUGAUGCACGAAAGCGUGGGUAUCAAACAGGAUUAGAUACCCCUGUAGUC